UACGGAGGAUGCGAGCGUUAUCCGGAUUUAUUGGGUUUAAAGGGUGCGUAGGCUGUCGGAUAAGUUAGAGGUCAAAUGUCGGGGCUUAACCCCGUGCCUGCCUCUGAUACUGUUCGACUGGAGAGCGGAUGCAGCAGGCGGAAUGAGUAGUGUAGCGGUGAAAUGCGUAGAUAUCAGGAGGAACACCGGCGGCGAAGGCGGCUUACUGGACUGUAACUGACGUUGAGGCUCGAAGGCGUGGGGAGCAAACAGG
rnacentral:rRNA from 1 species